GGACAGAUGCCCGAGCGGUUAAGGGGACGGUCUCAAGUAAUCCGUUGCGUAAGCGCGUGAGUUCGAAUCUCACUCUGUUCA
rnacentral:tRNA from 1 species